GACGAACGCUGGCGGCGUGCUUAACACAUGCAAGUCGAACGGUGAAAGCGGAGCUUGCUCCGCUGGAUCAGUGGCGAACGGGUGAGUAACACGUGGGCAACCUGCCCCUCACUUCGGGAUAACUCCGGGAAACCGGGGCUAAUACCGGAUAUGACCUCCUUGGGCAUCCUUGGAGGUGGAAAGUUUUUCGGUGAGGGAUGGGCCCGCGGCCUAUCAGCUUGUUGGUGAGGUAGUGGCUCACCACGGCGACGACGGGUAGCCGGCCUGAGAGGGCGACCGGCCACACUGGGACUGAGACGCGACCCAGACUCCUACGGGAGGCAGCAGUGGGGAAUAUUGCGCAAGGGGCGAACGCCUGACGCAGAAACGCCGCGUGCAGGAUGACGGCCUUCGGGUUGUAAACCGCUUUCAGCGGGGAAGAAGCCGCAAGGUGACGGUACCUGCAGAAGAAGCACCGGCUAACUACGUGCCAGCCGCCGCAGUAA
rnacentral:rRNA from 1 species